UACGUAGGGUGCAAGCGUUACUCGGACUUACUGGGCGUAAAGCGUGCGCAGGCGGUUUUGUAAGUCUGACGUGAAAUCCCCGGGCUCAACCUGGGAAUUGCGUUGGAGACUGCAAGGCUAGAAUCUGGCAGAGGGGGGUAGAAUUCCACGUGUAGCAGUGAAAUGCGUAGAGAUGUGGAGGAACACCGAUGGCGAAGGCAGCCCCCUGGGUCAAGAUUGACGCUCAUGCACGAAAGCGUGGGGAGCAAACAGG
rnacentral:rRNA from 1 species